AGAUCAGCCCUGGGGUUCAGAGGGAUCCUGACAGCUACUCCUCAAGAUCCUCUCUGUUGUGAUUCAUCCCCCCGGGGCCCUACAGUUUCUCCUUCCUGACUCUUACAUUUCUUUGGAUGGCAUCAUUAUUUACCUGUCUCCUCCCAUAGUUAGGUGCCAAGCACUGUGGAUUCUGCCUCUCAGUGUCCAGACACCCAUUUUCCUUCCCACUGUUCCUUCCCCAUGGAGAAGCCUGUGGCUGGCUGACAGCAGAGAGAGAUGCUCAACUUGGAGAAGGUGUUACCUGGGCCAGGUGGGGAAGGUUUGUUUGCAGAGCAAAGAAGUGAAGGAAGUAUUAACCCUUUGCAUGGCCUCCUGAGAAUCCGACAAGACGUAAAUAGCCAAGAAUAUCUGUGAAACUUCAUCACUGAGUUACAAUAUUUAUCACUCCUAUUCAACGUGAAAAAGAUGAGGAUGAAGACCUUUAUUAUGAUCCACUUCCAAGUAAUGAACACACUGGAGAAAGUCAGACAGUCAAAACAAUGUCCCAGACUCCGUGAAGUUCCUGGGUAGAGAAGGAGACAGACAUAUACCAUACCUAAUAAUUGGAUGUCCGAGAGAAUGAGAGAAUGGCAGAAAGAACUUUAGAGCAUGGGUAUGAUGGCUAGAGCUUGAGCAGCCAUUGUGGACAUCAGAU
rnacentral:lncRNA from 1 species